GCAGGGGGGAGGGGCGGAGGAAAGUUUGGUGCUGCUGCGGCUCCCGGAGGGAUAGUGUCACUAGGCCGGGAAUAAACCGGGAUUGGCAUUUGGGCUCUGCUCUGGUCGUCCCUUAAGUUAGGCGUGUUUUGUGCCAAAGACGGUCGAAGGGCGUUGGGAGCUGGCGGGGCAGCUUCCUGCAGCUCUGUGGGUGCGUGAGGUGAGGUGACCACCGUCACCCCGGGCGGUUUGGGAGGUGGUGCGAGGCCGCAUUCCAAACGUGCCUUCGGAAAAUUGCCAACUGGGUGCCGUGCCUUGAGCCAUAUACAGGAUUUCUCAGGGAGAAUCACAGGCAGAAUCACAGAACGACCUGUGAGGAAAGGCCUGGGAGAUCAUCGAGUCCAACCUUUGGCUGGAAACCACCAUGACAAUCACACCUGGCACAAAGUACUUCCUUAAACACCAAAGCACUCCUGUGGAGCUUGGAAAACCUUGUUUUGUUUUUAGCUGGCUUCUCUAGUCCCAAAAACCCCAUUAAUCUUUUUGUGAGAAAGAAAAAUUUUUUCAUAUCAAUUAGCAUUCAAUGGGGCUUUUUAUUAUCAGCUAAUUAAAUGUGUUUCACAUUCUCACAAAAUAAUACAAUCAAUAAAAUGUGCUUCAUUCCUGCUAAACAAAAGUGCAAGCACUUGCACUUGUACUAAACAUUAAACAUUAGUGCAAGUGUUAAGCAGUAAACCAGAUUAUGGGUUUGCAGAAGUCUUGGAGGUAACUGCUCUUUUCUAUUUAAUGUAGAUUUUCUUACUGUUUUCUCACUGUUCUUUGUACAGUUUCAAAAUUAAAAAAAAAAAGAAUGGUUUGCAGUUUCGCAUCUUGGUUUGUUUUCUUGUUUUCUAUUUUGUAUGAUGUUUUAUUUUUCUUUGACUAGCAUUUGUCAUUACGGGUUUAGUAGAGCUGUAGGGGGGAGUACUUGUGGAAUUUUGCUGUGAAGUGUGAAGGUUCCACUUGACUCGGCAGCUGCUGCGGUUUCACUGCCUCUUGUUGCAGGUGACCAAACCCACGGCAGAGCUGGCAUCUCCCCAUGUGCAAAGGGUGACGUCUUUGUUCAGCCCCCACCCUGCCCUGGCAUUAGCUGAGAUUGCACUCCAUUGGCUUUGACCUGAAACAAGGAUGUAACUUAGCAAAAGUUUUACUGACUAUUCCCUCCCACUGCCCUCCUCAAGGCAGCAAAUGGCACUUUAGAUAAAAGCCUUGUCACAGCAGGAGGAUUAAACCUUGCAAAGGACCUGGACAUUUGUAUGCUUGCUUCUGCUGAUUUCCCACCAGAGCUGCAGUCCAGAGCCCCGAGUGAGAUUUGAGGUCUGGGAGGGCAGGAGAGCCCUUGUCCAGUAUCACCUGACAGUCUCAUCUGGGUCUCUCCAAGAUCCAUUUCAGCUCUGCUGCUCUCAAGUUCUGCACAGUGUCUGAUAAAAGUUGCUGUGGGGAGCCUGUGUCGUCAGCUGGGCUUAUUGCCCAGAGCUGGUGGGUGUCCUGUCCUUGCAGGUGUUAUGUGUGGGUGGCUGGCCCUGGAAGUUGGCCUUCUUAGCAGAAACUACUUGUUCAAAACCCCAGGUUUGAGAUUUAUCUAGAAUAUAUAACUCAGUGUUUCCUUAUCAGCUUCAGGGAAUUGCAGUCACACAGGAAUUGAAUGAGGGGCAAUAAUUCUUUAAUUAUAAAUAUUUUAAUUAUUUUUGCAAUCCAGAUAAGUUACCUCGAUGUGUUGCCUCCUUUCAGCUCAAUGUUCAUAGAACUAACAAAUAGGAAAAAAGUAAAGUGUACACAUAGUUUUUCACUGACAGCAAUUGAGAAAUAUUUCAGAAUUCUCAGAUACAUUAUUUCUAAGCAUAAGCUCUAUCAGAGUUAAAUAAAGAUCCUUUGUAACUUAAAGCUCUAAGCAGAUACAAGAUUUUUCUUUUGUUCCAGUGAUAUUAUGAUUUGUGAAUGCAAUUGGUUUUUAUUCUAGGCUAUCAUGGAAAUAGGGAAGUUAUUGAAAUUCAUUCAGACUUCAAUAAAUUUUCUUUCUUGCCUAGAAAUUAUGACUUUUUGAUACAUGAUAAAUUGCACUAAACUGUUGGAUUUUAUGCAAACCCAGCUUUAUAGUUGGCCGCAGGAAGCAUUUUUAAACAGUAUGUGUAAAGUGCCAGUACUGAAAAUUUUCUUUUAAUUAACACAGCCUGAUAGUACAAAAGAUUUUAUUGUUUACCCAGCUUUAUAGUUAGCCACAGGAAGCAUUUUAAAUAGUAUCUGUAAGGUGCUAAUAUUCAAGAUUUUUUUUUAAUUAACACAGCUGAUAGUCAAGGUCUUAUUGUUUAAAUACACACACUGUUUGAGUUCAGGAACUGCUUGAUCAUUUUCACAUCUCAGCGUUCUCCUUUUCAGCUGCAGGGCACUGCCCAUGUGCUGAAAUGGCACUGUGAAGGCUAAAACCUUGAUGGUGUGUGUUAAAGAGAUAAGGAAGAACACGUACCUUUUGAAAGGGAGUGCCAGUUUCUUUAAACUAAGUGUUUGACUGAUAGCACUGUUUGCUUUUGGUAGCCUACUUAGUCCAGAUAGACUUUUCAGUGCUAAAUAAUCUUUUGAGCUCAGCCAAACCCAAGUUCUGAGUAAUUUGUUUAAUAAAAAAUGUGUGA